rnacentral:rRNA from 1 species
UACAGAGGUCUCAAGCGUUGUUCGGAUUCAUUGGGCGUAAAGGGCGCGUAGGCUGCGGGGCAAGUCGGGUGUGAAAUCUCAGAGCUCAACUCUGAAACUGCACUCGAUACUGCUUUGCUUGAGGACUGGAGAGGAGAUUGGAAUUCACGGUGUAGCAGUGAAAUGCGUAGAUAUCGUGAGGAAGACCAGUGGCGAAGGCGGAUCUCUGGACAGUUCCUGACGCUGGAGGCGCGAAGGCCCAGGGGAGCAAACGGG